CUAGGGCCAGUUCAAGACUGGUUCCAGCCUUAUCCCAGUCAUGAACCAGUUGGUUUCACAUCGGCCAGAGCCAGCCAUGGAGCCGGUGAGAGCAACGUUAUGACGUCACUGCAAACGUCUGCUUACGUCUCCGCUUUCAAAGAUAGCCUUUGUCCGGGUUGCUCCCUCUAACUUGUUCUGGACCUCGGAAGAAGACCAGAAUCCAAGGAGACAGGUUGUCUCCUCCACGGUCCACUGCGUUUUCAUCUUCACGUCCAUUGUUUACUUCAGUGUUUUUAAAAAGGCCGGUCUUCGUUGGUCUUCCUGUUUAUGAAGGUAAGGAUAACCCCGCCCCCUGCCCCUGGCGUAAAGGCAGUUCUCGUUCUAGCCCAGCACAAUCCUGGGGCUGGAGUUGAACCGUUUUUUACAGCCCGGAACCGGUUCUCUGGCCUUGUGAAACCGAAACACUGGCUCUAGCUCCGAACUAGCCCGGAACCUGCUCAGAUUUUGCGGCGGUGUGAAAGGCCUAUGAGAUCCAGAGGAGUGGAAAUUCAAGAUGAAACCAAGCGUAAAACCAAGACGUAGGUUAUUACCUUUAAAGAAGACCCAAGUGGCAAACACCAGACCAGAAGGAGAGCAGAGCCAAGGACGAAAGUGCAGUCAGUCAGUCAGGGGAGCUUCCAAGGAUCUAUUCUGAAUGGGUGCAGAGAGUUUCAAUCCCAGUUAUCAAAGGUCUCCUGGAUGACCUUUGGCAGCAGAAAGUGUUCAAUACUGAGGACAAGGACACUGUGAUGGAGAACCACAAGAUCAGAGUGGAACGAGCACGUUGUCUGAUCGACAUGGUGAUCGGGAAAAGGGAGAGAGCAAGUCAGAUAAUGAUUGAUAGUAUGAAGGAGAGAGACAUUGAAUUAUGCAUCACCUUGGGCCUGAUCUCUUUGAUUUUAGUAAUUUUAAAGAAACGCACUGCCAACUUUGUUUUGACAAGACAAGCUGAAAAAGUAAUUGCUGCUGUAGAUAGGAAUUUUGUUACAUUUUAUUAUAAUAAUUUUAAUAUGGUUGUUAUCAUGGAGUUUAAUGAAUA